GAUGAACGCUAGCUACAGGCUUAACACAUGCAAGUCGAGGGGAAACGGCAUUAAGUGCUUGCACUUUUUGGACGUCGACCGGCGCACGGGUGAGUAACGCGUAUCCAACCUUCCCAUGACUAAGGGAUAACCUGCCGAAAGGCAGACUAAUACCUUAUGGUCUUCACUGACGGCAUCAGAUGUGAAGUAAAGAUUUAUCGGUUACGGAUGGGGAUGCGUCUGAUUAGCUUGUUGGCGGGGUAACGGCCCACCAAGGCAACGAUCAGUAGGGGUUCUGAGAGGAAGGUCCCCCACAUUGGAACUGAGACACGGUCCAAACUCCUACGGGAGGCAGCAGUGAGGAAUAUUGGUCAAUGGGCGAGAGCCUGAACCAGCCAAGUAGCGUGCAGGAUGACGGCCCUAUGGGUUGUAAACUGCUUUUGUAUGGGGAUAAAGUCAAUCACGUGUGAUUGUUUGCAGGUACCAUACGAAUAAGGACCGGCUAAUUCCGUGCCAGCAGCCGCGGUAAUACGGAAGGUCCGGGCGUUAUCCGGAUUUAUUGGGUUUAAAGGGAGCGUAGGCUGGAGAUUAAGUGUGUUGUGAAAUGUAGACGCUCAACGUCUGACUUGCAGCGCAUACUGGUUUCCUUGAGUACGCACAACGUUGGCGGAAUUCGUCGUGUAGCGGUGAAAUGCUUAGAUAUGACGAAGAACUCCGAUUGCGAAGGCAGCUGACGGGAGCGCAACUGACGCUGAAGCUCGAAGGUGCGGGUAUCGAACAGG
rnacentral:rRNA from 1 species